rnacentral:rRNA from 1 species
UACGAAGGGUGCAAACGUUGCUCGGAAUUAUUGGGCGUAAGGCGCGCGUAGGCGGCUUGGCAAGUCGGAUGUGAAAUCCCUCGGCUCAACCAAGGAAGUGCAUCCGAAACUGCCGAGCUUGAGUACUUAAGAGGAUCGCGGAAUUCCCGGUGUAGAGGUGAAAUUCGUAGAUAUCGGGAGGAACACCAGUGGCGAAGGCGGCGAUCUGGGAAGAUACUGACGCUGAGGUGCGAAAGCGUGGGGAGCAAACAGG